rnacentral:misc_RNA from 1 species
UGGUUCUGGCAUCGAUGAAGAACGCAGCGAAAUGCGAUAAGUAAUGCGAAUUGCAGAAUUCAGUGAGUCAUCGAAUCUUUGAACGCACAUUGCGCCCCUUGGUAUUCCGGGGGGCAUGCCUGUUCGAGCGUCAUUUAACCCCUCAAGCUCAGCUUGGUGUUGGGGCCUGCCUGUGGGCAGCCCUUAAAAUCAGUGGCGGUGCCAUCUGGCUCUAAGCGUAGUAAUUCUUCUCGCUACAGGGUCCCGGUGGAUGCUUGCCAUAACCCCAAUUUUCUUUGGUUGACCUCGGAUCAGGUAGGGAUACCCGCUGA